rnacentral:rRNA from 1 species
AUGUCGAGGCCGCAAGCGAGGAGCUCGAGCUACAGGAAGAAAGCGGCGGCGGGGGCGUCGUCUCACCACCACAACCACGGCAGCAAGGCGCACUACGUCCAUGGCGGGAGACCUGCACCAAGGUGGCCUGCCAGGGUAAUGGACGGGUUCAGGAAGAUGCUGGUGGGCCUGUUCGCCUUCCCGCCGCGGCCGCCCAAGGUCACCUUCUCCGCCAACGGCAGGGGCGGUGGCGAGGACGCGGUGGCUCCCAAGAGGCCGUCGUGCAGCAGCUCCAACCUGCAGCCGGUGAACAACGCACACUACGACGAGGCCAUCUCCGACUGCGUCGAGUUCUUCCACCGCUCCGCCAGGGUGGACGUCAGGUCACGGCCGUCCUCGUCGUCCCACUUCUAA